GUUCUCGGCGCACAGUGCAAAGGUUCAUUCGGUGGCUUGGAGCUGUGAUGGGAGGCGCCUGGCGUCGGGCUCCUUUGACAGACUGCGAGCGUGUUUGUGCUGGAAAAGGACCGGCUGACCAAAGAAAAUAACUACCGUGGGCAUGGGGACAGUGUAAGACCAACUCUGCUGGCAUCCUUACAAUCCAGACUUAUUUGUCACUGCAUCUGGAGAUAAAACAAUACGCAUAUGGGAUGUUAGAAA